GGACCCGUGGUGUAGUCUGGUUAACAUGCAAGCUUGUCACGCUUGAGAUCGCGAGUUCAAAUCUCGUCGGGUCCGCCA
rnacentral:tRNA from 1 species